AAGCAGGGUGUCUGUGAUGAGGAGGGACACAGGAAUUUCUGUCUGGUUCGUUUGGACGUGGAAGGGCAGAGGAGAGGGCUGAGUCCUUGAUCUCCAGUUGGUGAUCUCCCCCGAGGUUCCUUCAGGAGGACAGUCUGGACCCAGGCACAGGAGGAACACCGAUCUUUGAUGUCAAGGAGGCCGUGGCACCACUUCUGCACUCAGGCACUACUUCUGCACUCAGGAGCUUGCAGUGUCAUUGGGAAGACUCACCUCAAGCCAAGCCAAGGACUGAUACAAAGGAGAAUGUGGGAUAAGUGAGGGGGACACAGGGAGUGACUGGCAGGAAAGUGCUGGCUCCUUCCUGGACGCUGAUGGAGAACUAUCAUGUCCCGAGAGCCUGCUGUGCGCCAAGAACUGUCUAACCUCUGGACACGUACUGUGAGAUCACUAUGAUUGUACCCAUUUUACAGAUGGAGAAGUUGAGGCUCAUUAGAUUAAGGAAUCUGUUGAAUGUCACAUAAAUCCUAAGAGGCAGACCACCGUGAAAUCAAAAAGCAGUGACUCGGGUCCUGAUUCAGGGUUUCUUUUCUCAGCUCUUUGUUGGUUUGGGGGACAAAAAAAAAUUCCAGUCGAAGGGAGAGGCAGACAGGCAAAUACAUGUCACCAAUGGAAACCAAGAAGGAAAGUCAUUAGGGUCAUUUUUGCCUUCAAGCAACAAAGGUCAUCAAGAUUUGUUGUUGUUGUUGUUCUUAUUAUUACUAUUAAUGGAGCACACUUAUUAAAUGCCUUUCAUUAUCACUUAA